rnacentral:rRNA from 1 species
CCUACGAGAGGCAGCAGUGGGGACUAUUGCACAAUGGGGGAAACCCUGAUGCAGCGACGCCGCGUGAGUGAAGAAGUAUCUCGGUACGUAAAGCUCUAUCAGCAGGGAAGAUAAUGACGGUACCUGACCAAGAAGCCCCGGCUAACUACGUGCCAGCAGCCGCGGUAAUACGUAGGGGGCAAGCGUUAUCCGGAUUUACUGGGUUUAAAGAGAGCGUAGGCCGGCUUUUAAGUCAGCUGUUAAAGUCCGCGGCUCAACCGUGGAAUUGCAUUUGAAACUGGAGGCCUUGAGUGCACACAGGGAUGCCGGAAUUCAUGGUGUAGCGGUGAAAGGCUUAGAUAUCAUGAAGAACUCCGAUCGCGAAGGCAAGUGUCCGGGGUGCAACUGACGCUGAGGCUCGAAAGUGCGGGUAUCAAACAGGAUUAGAUACCCCAGUAGUC